rnacentral:rRNA from 1 species
CCUACGGGGGGCAGCAGUGAGGAAUAUUGGUCAAUGGACGAGAGUCUGAACCAGCCAAGUAGCGUGAAGGAUGACUGCCCUAUGGGUUGUAAACUUCUUUUAUAUGGGAAUAAAAUGUUCCACGUGUGGGAUUUUGUAUGUACCAUAUGAAUAAGGAUCGGCUAACUCCGUGCCAGCAGCCGCGGUAAUACGGAGGAUCCGAGCGUUAUCCGGAUUUAUUGGGUUUAAAGGGAGCGUAGGUGGAUUGUUAAGUCAGUUGUGAAAGUUUGCGGCUCAACCGUAAAAUUGCAGUUGAAACUGGCAGUCUUGAGUACAGUAGAGGUGGGCAGAAUUCGUGGUGUAGCGGUGAAAUGCUUAGAUAUCACGAAGAACUCCGAUUGCGAAGGCAGUUCACUGGACUGCAACUGACACUGAGGCUCGAAAGUGUGAGUAUCAAACAGGAUUAGAUACCCGAGUAGUC